UUGCCGGUAAAUACAUACGCUCCCCACUGGUCAACUUAUGGGCGACGAAGCAGUUGGCAACAUUGCUAAAAAAUCUCGACCCCUUGAUCCUUCGUGCCAGAUUCCAAUGAUCGUGUUUUUCUUUACCGCUUCCGCAGGACUUUCGGAUCGACGGUGAUCCUGUCUGUAAGUGAACAAUACUGGAGAUCAUUCGAACGGCAGAUUGAAUGGCUGAUUUGUCAUUGCGCGCCAUUUGGUUUUCGAUUAAUCUUGACUCGAUGUCCAAAAUUUGCCAGAAGAGAUCAAGCUGGAUCGGAUUAUGUUUGGGUGAACAAGCUCUUGAAGGGAAAUACCACUAAAGCGAUUGCAGUUUCUCGUUAAGGUGUGACCCAAUUAGCAGUUUAAACGCUUAGAUCUGAGGUAAGAAUUUGCAGUAAGCUCUUAAAUAUCGUAUCAAUUAGAAAGUGGAUAUUAAGCAGUCGGGAAAAUGUUACGAGCAGCGCGCAUAAAGGCAAACGUUGGCCAGGUAUGUAAUUAGCGGUGCGUCCGGAUGUCUUUAAGAAACGCUUUAGGUCGCAGGAAUUUUAAGUACACGAAGUAAUAAAGCGUACGUAAAAGACGCAUAAUGAACGAACGAUAGUGACUGGAAUAUUUUGAAUGGAUGUGGGCUUGGUUCGCCACGAAAAUAAAGAAUAAGCGAUUGAACGAGUCGAACAUGAUUUUGGAAAAUCCAGACACGUAGACCUCGACCCGAAGACAACGUCGUUAUAAAUUAACUCGUUGCUCCCUAACGAUAUUUCUUUUUGUACGAGUUUAUUUUAAAGUGGUCACGUUAACAAUGGAGUCAUUAGCGACCACUUAUCCCCAUACAGUGGUUACAUACAUGGAUAUUUGGUUACUAAGCGUUCAUAAUCUUACGAACAUCUAACCUAUGCGCAUAAUUUGAUACUCGUUAUCGUUUAUAAGGAGAUUUCGUGUUACCAUCUAUAUAAAAAUGUUACUCUUGGUAAACACGUUUUAUCUCUUUUAAAUCCUGUAAAGAUUCGUGGAAAACAAUGCACGCUACCCACUAAAAUAGUUAUCGAGCGUUAAAAAUAGAGCAUAAAUUUAAAAUACACGUGGAGAAGAAAGUAUAAUAGAAUUUUUAAUAAAAUUAGAGUUUCGAAUUAAAUUACAAGCGAUAGCUAAUUCUUGGAGAGAAGUCGGUACGCGUUUAGCCAAGUGGUUAAUGGGUUAAAGCGUGGCGAACCGAGACGCGUAGCAGCCUCGUGAUUCCGUGUGCCUAAAUUUACGCACAGCAGAUGUAAUAAAGCGUGUGCACGCCGUUUUACGGUAUCCUCUAUCCGGGAUUCCGAAUAAGCAGCGACGCAACCGGCCGAUUACGUCGCUUUGAACCGAUGCCAGCCACCUUUCUGCGAUUCUCCGAACGCACCAAGGUGCGACCGCGCCGUGGAGGAACGUUCCUGGGACAACGUUUCUCGAAUCGAGGAAUUCGCCUCCCCGUCGUUCGAUUCUCUGCAUUUUUUCCCCAUGAAUCGAUGAUCCAUGAAUGAUCCGAAUACUUUAAUGUCUAUACUCUGAUAUACAGUUUGUAUCGCGUAAUACGAUUCUUCGAUUCGUUUCAACGACCACCUCGAUGUAACAAGAACAGAAAUACGUCGGUAUAUCCUGAAGAAAGUAAUUAUUGCUAUCGAGAGAUUUGGAACUCGAACGACGAAUGAACGCAUUGGUAUUGGUUUCUUUCCUUUGUUCUGUUGUUAGAUGUUGAGUAUCCUUUAUGAGUGACGAACAAGAUGCAGACGUAAACUUUUACGAAGUGAAAUAACAAGCGAAAAUGUUGAUUACGCUGAACCGUUGGAGGUAUUUCAGGCACAAAGAGAAUGUAACGCUAGAGGUUUAUUUGAGUUAAAAAACUUAGCUAAUUCAACGGUAAGAAAUAUAUAGAACUCUGGAGUACUAAAACAAACUGACAAUACGCUUCAUCUCUAUUUAAAUAAAUGAAAUUUAAUACCAAAGUACCAGACAUUUUAUUCUCCUAUUUUAGCUCUACCGUAUUUUGAGAAGACUCUGUCGGUGGUUAACUUAGGCUACGUAACCCGGUCGUUUCAUUCGCACAUAAAAAAAAAAUUCCACAUUCGCAAUGUAGAAUCCUUUCUCGUUCGGCUUUCACUGGGUAUCGUCGUUUCGAGCGUCUGAAAUUAUACCCUGGGACGAAGAUUGCUUGUAAAUCGAAUAGAAAUUGAGACAACUGGGUGUUCUAGUCUUCUUCCACGGGAUAGAAAGCCGGACGAAUGUAUCCAUAACUCACCACCGUAUCAAUUCCAAUGGAACUUGUUUCGCCACUUUUAAUUUUCCUUAAACUUCUUAUCGGCCACCGUAUCGUUAAAACGUAGAAAAAAUUUAAUUAAAUUUCCUGCUGAAAAUAAUUAUCUUCAAAGUCAUCAUACGUCCUCUCGUCGAAGAUCGAGAAAGCGAUGGAUCGUGUACGAUGCGUCAGGAUGUACACUAUCGUUCAUAAGUAUUUAGACGUCGAAUAACUAGAGAAGUACGUAUUUCUAUUAUUCGAAAACCCUAAUAUCGAGGAAACGUAGUGUUCGUCAAGACCAUCCGACUUGUCGUUAAAUUGAUUAUUAUCACGAUCAUCAAACAUUAGCAGACAAACUGCAAGAAUACGAAAUAACACAUCCAAAGGAAUCAGAAACAUUCGUUUGAACGUAUACUGCCAUAAUUAUUUGGCUACCUGACAUUACAGAAAGUUGAAGAUGUUUUCUAUAAUAUUUUUCUAUAAUAUUUUCUAUAGUAUUUGCAGUAAGUGCGCGAGUAUUCAAAAGUCUGGAAUACUUAUGAACGGUAGUGUAUCACGAGUAUGUGGCGGAGCACGUCGUUGCUUUCGCGGCAGAUCGAGCCUCGUUCAAGGCUACCAGCUUCUAACUUCGCGUGUUUACCGACGUCAAGUCAGGACCAGGCAUCUCCGCAAGUAGGCUCCAUCGGGUGAAAUUCGAGAGAGGAGAUCACGAACGGGUGAACGGUUAUUCUCGAUGAAUGAUCGCAACUCGAUGUGACUUAUUGCCAGGAGAUUCUCGCAUUCGACGAACCAGUCAACAUACAAACAGAGUAAUC